rnacentral:lncRNA from 1 species
CAAAUUACCUCACUCUGACUAAAGCAGCAAUAAGCUGAAGUUCUUGAUAUCCUGGGAAUUUCAAUCCACCAAAGCAAUUCAAGCAUUGAGGCUAAAUGGAGUUCAUACUAUAGUUUCCAUUUUGGAUUUACCCCUAAGAAAACUUAAGCUAAGAUUCCCAAUGAAGACUGUGCUCUCAGACCACCCAAAACCAACAGAAGGCCAAG